UAAAGGAUAAGCUAAAUUUAAGCUAUUGGGUUCAUACCUCAUUUAUGGAUGUAUUUUCCUCUUUUUA
rnacentral:tRNA from 1 species